AGAAUUCAAGAAAGAAUCUGAAUAAUAUUGAGUAAUCAUCUCAUUUCUUCAGUUCAGGUAUUCGUCCUUUUACAUCAGCUAACCCAUAACUGUCUUUGACUUCCCUGUCUUCUAGUAACAGAAUUGGCAACUAAUCUGCACUAACUGUCUUUGUAACAAGAAUAAAACUAGCUAUUCCCUUCAAUUAUUUCCAUCCAAAACUAUUAUUCGUGAGACCACCCACUACACUAACUUGACU
rnacentral:misc_RNA from 1 species